rnacentral:lncRNA from 1 species
AUGACGGCGGUUCUUCUGCUAGUGAAUGGGGUUGGCCUUCUUAGCUUCUGGCUGUCUGUGGCGUGGGCCUGUAAUGUCACCAUUCACCCAGAGAAUCCUGCUGUGAUGUUUGGGGGCCCUGUGGAUCUAAACUGCACUACUUCGUGUACCAAUUACACCGGUCUGAACUGGGAGGUAUCUCUUGAAGCUAAGAUCCAGGAGGGAAAUGGGUGGAUUUCUCUGGCGAUGAAAAAUGUGGAAGAAUGGAAAGCUCAACCAUUGUGCUGGGUCAAAUAUGAAGACUCUCUUUUACUCUCCACCAGGGCAGUACUCUAUGUAUAUGAAUUCUCAACACCCACUAUCCAGCUGGCUUCUGAGAUUCAGCAAGGCCAUUCAGAGAACAUUGUGUGCAAUAUUCCUCGCUUGAAGGUGAGAGACUCCACAUCACCUCAUAGGAACAUCUCCUUGAGCAGAGGCCCAGAUGUUCUCAGCAGCAACAAUAACAAAUCGUCUCUGGAGUACAGCUUUGUGGCCGACCUUCAGAAAGAUGACCGGACUGAGAUCAUUUGUGAAGCCUAUGUCCAGGUGGGCUCAGAAGUGCUGAGAAAACAGACGAGGAGAGUUUUGAAUGUUGUGGAGUCGACUCGCAGCUGGAUCGCCGCAGUGGUGGUGGUGACGUUGCUGGCAGUCCUGAUCACGGCUGGAGUCGUCUUGUACCGCUGUCAGAAAUGA